rnacentral:rRNA from 1 species
CACGUAGGGGGGCGAGCGUUUGUCCGGAUUUAUUGGGCGUAAAGAGCUCGUAGGCGGUUUCGUAAGUCGGAUGUGAAAACUCCAGCUCAACUUGGAGACGCCAUUCGAUACUGCGAUGACUUGAGUCCGGUAGGGGAGUGUGGAAUUCCUGGUGUAGCGGUGAAAUGCGCAGAUAUCAGGAGGAACACCGGCGGCGAAGGCGGCACUCUGGGCCGGUACUGACGCUGAGGAGCGAAAGCGUGGGUAGCAAACAGG